rnacentral:rRNA from 1 species
CUUUUACAAUGAAGAGUUUGAUCCUGGCUCAGGAUGAACGCUAGCUACAGGCUUAACACAUGCAAGUCGAGGGGCAGCAUUCUUCUAGCAAUAGAAGAGAUGGCGACCGGCGCACGGGUGAGUAACACGUAUCCAACCUGCCGAUAACUCCGGAAUAGCCUUUCGAAAGAAAGAUUAAUACCGGAUAGCAUACGAAUAUCGCAUGAUAUUUUUAUUAAAGAAUUUCGGUUAUCGAUGGGGAU